ACCUCUUCAUCAUCUUCACUACUUCCCAGACUUCUCUACAUCAUGUUGCCUGGACUCCAUUCAUCAAACAUAUCUCUCUCCCAUUGAAAAUUUGGACUCCACUCAGGGACAUAUGGCUUCCUCACCUUUUACAGCUCCCCUUUGUAUGCUGUCUUCCCCCAUCAGAAUGUAAUCUCCUUCGAGACAUAAUGGGAGUCUGGCACAGGUAGCUAAGAUGACAUCAUCUAUAUGGAAGAUACUAGAAGAUACUUCUAAGAGAAUUGUGGAGACUCAAGUUUCCAUGGAUACUUUGUUUUGAUCUACCACGUCAUUGAGAAGAACCUUCUUCCAUUAUCUAUAAAGCCAAAUCUGUAGGCAUUUUCAAAUCAGCUUACAUUAGCACCAAAUAUGACUUUGCUGUAUUUGCAUCUGGGAAGUGAAAUGACUCCAUCACUAAUGUCUGGCAAAAUGAUGCAGUAAGAAGGAGACUCUAAGGUCCUCUUUUCCAUAUGGUCUCACCAGGGCAUGAGUGAAGGAAUCACCAUAGAUGUCCCAGUCUCAGAACUGAUGGUAGUUAUCUGCACAUGUGCCAACCACGAAUUACACAGAUAACAAAACUAAGACUAUAUGUACAUGUAGGAACCAUUUUUCAACCAAGAUCUGAAAAACUCUAACUGAUAACAUAAGCAAAUAAAGACCAUGUAGUUUAAAAUGCCCAUUUUGGGCCUAGAGGAAGGCAAAGCAACAUUAAGCAAUAAAAUGUUCAUCCUAAUGAAAUUACUGUGUAAUGAAAUAUACUGGAACUAAAAUAAAUGAUUACUUAAUGGUAA